UGCCAGCCGCCGCGGUAAUACGGAGGGUGCGAGCGUUAAUCGGAAUUACUGGGCGUAAAGCGCAUGCAGGUGGUUCAUUAGGUCAGAUGUGAAAGCCCGGGGCUCAACCUCGGAACUGCAUUUGAAACUGGUGAACUAGAGUGCUGUAGAGGGGGGUAGAAUUUCAGGUGUAGCGGUGAAAUGCGUAGAUAUCCGGAGGAACAUCAGUGGCGAAGGCGACUUCCUGGACCGAUACUGACACUGAGGUGCGAAAGCGUGGGUAGCAAACAGGAUUAGAUA
rnacentral:rRNA from 1 species